AUACUUACCUGGCGCAGAGGAUACCACGAUCAACAAGGUGGUUCCUCCAGGACGAGACUCGGUCUCUAUCGUAGCACUCAACUUUGAGUAUGACACUUGUGUUGAAUUGCACAACAGCCGCAGCGCAUAGAGC